rnacentral:rRNA from 1 species
GACGAACGCUGGCGGCGUGCUUAACACAUGCAAGUCGAACGAAGAGCGAUGGAAGCUUGCUUCUAUCAAUCUUAGUGGCGAACGGGUGAGUAACGCGUAAUCAACCUGCCCUUCAGAGGGGGACAACAGUUGGAAACGACUGCUAAUGCCGCAUACGAUCUGACCUCGGCAUCGAGGAUAGAUGAAAGGUGGCCUCUAUUUAUAAGCUAUCACUGAAGGAGGGGAUUGCGUCUGAUUAGCUAGUUGGAGGGGUAACGGCCCACCAAGGCGAUGAUCAGUAGCCGGUCUGGGGGGAUGGACGGCCACAUUGGGACUGAGACACGGCCCAGACUCCUACGGGAGGCAGCAGUGGGGAAUCUUCCGCAAUGGACGAAAGUCUGACGGAGCAACGCCGCGUGAGUGAUGACGGCCUUCGGGUUGUAAAGCUCUGUUAAUCGGGACGAAAGGCCUUCUUGCGAAUAGUUAGAAGGAUUGACGGUACCGGAAGAGAAAGCCACGGCUAACUACGUG